UGCAGUCGAGCGGAGUAAGGUGAAACUUGUUUCACCUAGCUUAGCGGCGGACGGGUGAGUAACACGUAGGUAACCUGCCCAUAAGACUGGGAUAACUACCGGAAACGGUAGCUAAUACCGGAUAGGUUCUUCUCUCGCAUGGGAGGGGAAAGAAAGACGGAGCAAUCUGUCACUUAUGGAUGGACCUGCGGCGCAUUAGCUAGUUGGUGAGGUAACGGCUCACCAAGGCGACGAUGCGUAGCCGACCUGAGAGGGUGAUCGGCCACACUGGGACUGAGACACGGCCCAGACUCCUACGGGAGGCAGCAGUAGGGAAUCUUCCGCAAUGGGCGAAAGCCUGACGGAGCAACGCCGCGUGAGUGAUGAAGGUUUUCGGAUCGUAAAGCUCUGUUGCCAGGGAAGAACGUCUCUUAGAGUAACUGCUAAAAGAGUGACGGUACCUGAGAAAAAAGCCCCGGCUAACUACGUGCCAGCAGCCGCGGUAAUACGUAGGGGGCAAGCGUUGUCCGGAAUUAUUGGGCGUAAAGCGCGCGCAGGCGGUCAUUUAAGUUGGGUGUUGAACCCCAGGGCUCAACCCUGGGUCGCACCCAAAACUGGAUGACUUGAGUGCAGAAGAGAAGAGUGAAAUUCCGCGUGUAGCGGUGAAAUGCGUAGAGAUGUGGAGGAACACCAGUGGCGAAGGCGACUCUCUGGGCUGUAACUGACGCUGAGGCGCGAAAGCGUGGGGAGCAAACAGGAUUAUAUACCCUGGGAGUCCCCGCCGUAAACGAUGAAUGCUAAGUGUUAGGGGUUUCGAUACCCUUGGGGCCCAAGUUAACACAUUAAGCAUUCCGCCUGGGGCAGGACGGACGCAAGACUGAUACUCAUAGGAAUUGAC
rnacentral:rRNA from 1 species